GCCUGAUCCAGCAAUGCCGCGUGGGUGAAGAAGGUCUUCGGAUUGUAAAGCCCUUUCGGCGGGGACGAUGAUGACGGUACCCGCAGAAGAAGCCCCGGCUAACUUCGUGCCAGCAGCCGCGGUAAUACGAAGGGGGCUAGCGUUGCUCGGAAUGACUGGGCGUAAAGGGCGCGUAAGCGGUUUGUACAGUCGGAUGUGAAAUUCCUGGGCUUAACCUGGGGGCUGCAUUUGAUACUUGCGGGCUUGAGUGAGGAAGAGGGUUGUGGAAUUCCCAGUGUAGAGGUGAAAUUCGUAUAUAUUGGGAAGAACACCGGUGGCGAAGGCGGCUACCUGGUCCUUGACUGACGCUGAGGCGCGAAAGCGUGGGGAGCAAACAGGAUUAGAUACCCUGGUAGUCCACGCUGUAAACGAUGUGUGCUGGAUGUUGGGUGACCUAGUCACUCAUUGUU
rnacentral:rRNA from 1 species